GGAGGCGGGUCUUCGGGAGGGAGGUGGGUGGGUCCCUCAUGAGUGGGAUUGGUGCCCAUAUACAACAGGCCCCAGAAAGAUCCCUCGCCCCCUCCCACCUGGAGAGGGCGCAGUGCGAAGGCGCAGGCUAGAAACCAGGAGGAGGGCCUUCACCCA